rnacentral:lncRNA from 1 species
GUGAGCCCAUAAAGUUUUAGAACGUUGUGAUGAUAAGAACGACCAUGGCAACAGCAACAACAACUAUGAUGAUGUAGUGUUGUCAAGUUGAUUUGAACUUAUGGUGAUACUUCUCAGGGUUUUUAAAAAAUCUAUACCCAGAAGUGGUUUUUUCCCCCAUUUCCUUCUUAUGGGGUUACACUGGGACUAUGUAAUUUGCAAGAGACACAGUGGAGAAUUGAACUCCUGACUGACCCCAGACGUGACACCUUCCAUAGAAUAUUGUUGGAACCUCAUUGGGCUUCUGUGGCACCAAGGCCAUUCCACUCAGUUAUGCUACUGCAUAACCCAUUCCUGGACAGAAAGAAGCAAGCUUGUGAUCCAUGCGCUGGAGAAGAACAAAAUUCUUGAAGGAUCCUCAGUCUUCUUCUCCUAGAAAGAGAUGGAGGUGUUUUGGAAAACAGGGGGGUCACCGAGGCUUCAGCUGUCUUUUGCAUUGCUUUCAGCAAAUCCGUGACCCGAAAACACCUGAACAAGGCAAACCUUCUCAGCAGACAAUAAAUAAGUCAGUCUAAUUUAAGACUCAGAGCAGUGCAGCACACCCAGAAAUUGAAUUGGCUGCUUUCCUCCUUUGCCCAAGGUUCCUUUCCUGCUGGUCAGGGAGACAGGUGCUUCGAAUUAUUUCACUUCUGACUGGUAGGUUAAAGGGAAGCAAUCACCUUGAUUGCACAAAAGAGAUCCCAGUAACCAAUUUCUUUGUGUGUGUGUCCCUGACAUCCAAACUUCUCCUCAGGCAAUUACUUGCAGAAGGUCUCAUUGGUCACCUAUUAGUCAUGGGGAUGUUAUACAAAAGCCCAAAGCAACCUGCAUAUCUUUCUUGGUCUGCCCUUAAUUUCAUGUUGAGUGUCACUUCAGAGUUAAGAAAGAAGUCUGCAGUGGCCUUGAGUAACAGCUGAAGGUGGAAGAUUGUCUGAGGUGGAAAACUGCUCAUUGAAGACUACAUUCCCAGCAAGUGCUUGAGGAGAUCAAAGUCUUAUUUGUCC